UACGUAGGGUGCAAGCGUUAAUCGGAAUACUGGGCGUAAAGCGUGCGCAGGCGGUUGUGCAAGACAGAUGUGAAAUCCCCGGGCUCAACCUGGGAACUGCAUUUGUGACUGCACGGCUGGAGUGCGGCAGAGGGGGAUGGAAUUCCGCGUGUAGCAGUGAAAUGCGUAGAUAUGCGGAGGAACACCGAUGGCGAAGGCAAUCCCCUGGGCCUGCACUGACGCUCAUGCACGAAAGCGUGGGGAGCAAACAGGG
rnacentral:rRNA from 1 species